AAAAAACGAAACGAUGCGUUUGACGGCAAAGGAAAGACUUGAGAAAAAGUGAUUUCUUCUUCCUUCGUCCAGCGUGUUAGGGUUUUGCAGUUGCGGAGUUCAGUGAGAUUAGUGACAAUGCAUUGCAGCUCCAUAUGAUGCAAUUCUCCAGCACCUGCAACGCUGUCUCGAUCAAAACGCCAAAGUAUCGUUCAACACGGUACGAUAUUUUGCCCCUUCAUGUUUAUCUCCUUGUUCUUGUAUACUCAAUCUGUUCCUCCAAGCUGGAUUUUUCGAUUCGAUGGCCAUCAUCCAUCAGCUCGGUAGCACCAUGAGCUUCUCGAAGAUUCCAGUGCAGAGAAACUCCGCUAUUGUGUUGUGUAUUUCAAAGUUGCUGAUAUAAUAAUGGGUUCGAUAUCGAGCCAUGAAUUCAGUAACUCUUUUAGGUCCAAGAAUAGUUCACAAGAUUCCCCAUUGCUUGAUUAUGUCACGGAAAUUAUGUGACGGUAUUUUUCAUGGUGAUGAUGGGUUUGAAUGCGUCGAGGAACCUUUAAAAAGGAUAGUUUCGGAGUAUGAUUCCAACGAGGGUGAAAGGCUCCAUGUGGAUGAGGAUUGGAGCUGUAACCAUAAUCAGUUUUCGCUUAGAAGAGAGUUCUUAGAGAAUGUGAAGCUAGAUGCCAAGAAGGUCCUUGAGGUUCUUCGACAAGAUGGACCAGGUCUUGAUGCUAGGUUAGUUUUAGAUGAAUUGAAUGUAAGUCCGUCCGGGAUUCUUGUCAGAGAAGUUCUCGCUGGAAUCUUGAAGAGCAUAAAUUUUGAGAAUAAAACCAGGUGUGCCAAAUUGGCAUACAAGUUUUUAGUGUGGUGCAAUCAGCAGGAGGAUUACAGGCCCACUUCAAAUGCAUAUCACCUGAUGAUGAACAUAUAUGCCGAGUGCCUGGAGUUUAAGGCUUUGUGGAGGUUGGUUGAUGAGAUGAUCGAGAAAGGGUUUCCUGCUACUGCUCGUACGUUCAACAUUUUGAUUCGAACUUGUGGUGAGGCAGGUUUAGCUAAGAAAUUGGUGGAGAGGUUUAUUAAAUCAAUGAAUUUUAAUUAUAGGCCUUUUAAGCACUCCUACAAUGCGAUUCUGCAUGGUCUUUUUGUGUUAAGCCAGUACAAGUUGAUUGAGUGGGUUCAUCAACAAAUGUUGCUGGAGGGUUUUUCUUCAGAUGUUUUAACAUACAAUAUUGUCAUGUUUUCUAAGUACAAACUUGGAAAGAUGGAUCAGUUCCACAUACUGCUGGAUGAGAUGGGUAGGAAUGGAUUUUCUCCAGAUUUUCACACCUAUAACAUUCUUCUUCAUGUUCUUGGUAAAGGAGACAAGCCCCUUGCAGCUCUUAAUCUUCUAAAUCUCAUGAGAGAAACAGGUAUAGAGCCAACAGUGCUUCAUUACACCACAUUGAUAGAUGGACUCAGCAGAGCUGGGAAUGUGGAUGCAUGCAAAUACUUUUUUGAUGAAAUAAUAAAGAAUGGGGGCACGCCUGAUGUGGUGGCUUACACUGUAAUGAUAACAGGAUAUGUAGUGGCAGGUGAGCUUGAGAAAGCUCUGGAAAUGUUUCGAGAGAUGAUUUCUAGAGAACAGGUCCCAAAUGUGUUUACAUACAAUUCCAUAAUUCGGGGAUUAUGUAAGGCACGAAAGUUCAAGGAAGCCUGCUCAAUGCUCAAGGAGAUGGAGACCAAAGGUUGUAGUCCAAAUUUUGUUGUCUAUAAUACAUUAGUGAGUAGUUUGCGCAAUGCCGGAAGAACCAACGAUGCUCAUGAAGUGAUAAAACAGAUGAUGGAGAAGCGGAAGUAUGGUCACAUACUUUCGAAAUUUCAAAAGGACUAAUGUAUAGUUAUAGGGUAGAUUGUCAACUUGGAUACGUUAUGGGUAUCUACAAAUUAUCUGGUUAGCUGUGACCAAUGUCCCACUGCGGGUUCAAAUGUUUCCCUCUUCCUCUGAUAUAUAUAUAUUUUUUGAGCAAUCGGCUGAAAUGAAGAACUGAGAUUGGGUUUUCAGUUGAGAUAUGUAUGAAGCAGGACGACCCCGCUGCUAGUGGAGAUUGAUUUUUUUUUUACUUCUUGUUGCUAUAGAUGAAGAUCUAACACUAUAUAUUCACACACGCACAGUGAAGUUGGCGGGUGUGUAUGAAUGUGUAUGUUAUGAAAAAAGCCGGUACUGUUGAAUUUUUUUAUUAGUCUCUAUACAUGAAUGUAAACGUGUAUGUAAAAAUUCAGCUGACUUAUGUAUAGUUACAAUUUAUUGAGGUGUCACUUGCAUUCUUGUAGUCCUAUAAUGACCUCUGCUAGUUGAAAUUGUACUUAUUUGAAGUGAUUCUGCUCCGAGAAAGAUAAAA